ACCGAAUGUACCACCAAUGCACCAAAACAACUGGUGGAAGGUCAGAAACCCAGGGAGAAAUACAGGAAUUUGAUGUUCAUCUCCAACUAAUAGAAACUCAGCUUAAGAAUAUGACCUGCCUUCUUCAAGAAAAUGCCACUCAGAUGUCUGCCCUUCCUCAAGAGAAGCACCACCCUAUAGUCCUGGCAGUAACACUACUGACAGCCGAGCCUCAGCAGGAACAUAUUUUUUCAGGAGCUGUUGACAUUUGA
rnacentral:lncRNA from 1 species